rnacentral:sRNA from 1 species
UUACUAGAUCAGACCGGCGAUUUGGUAU